AGAUUGAACGCUGGCGGCGUGCUUAACACAUGCAAGUCGAGCGGUAACGCGGGAGCAAUCCUGGCGACGAGCGGCGAACGGGUGAGUAAUGCUUGGGAAUCUGCCCAUUAGUGGGGAACAACCAGCCGAAAGGUUGGCUAAUACCGCAUACGCCCUACGGGGGAAAGCGGGGGAUCGAAAGACCUCGCGCUAAUGGAUGAGCCCAAGUCGGAUUAGCUUGUUGGUAGGGUAACGGCCUACCAAGGCGACAAUCCGUAGCUGGUCUGAGAGGACGACCAGCCACACUGGGACUGAGACACGGCCCAGACUCCUACGGGAGGCAGCAGUGGGGGAAUAUUGGACAAUGGGGGCAACCCUGAUCCAGCGACGCCGCGUGUGUGAAGAAGGCCUGCGGGUUGUAAGCACUUUUAGUGGGGAUGAAAAGCUCAGGGUUAACACCUCUGGGUCUUGACCUAACCCACAGAAAAGCACCGGCUAACUCUGCGCCAGCAGCCGC
rnacentral:rRNA from 1 species